rnacentral:sRNA from 1 species
GCAGGGCGGUGGGUGUGCCUGUGGUCCCAGCAUAGGGAGACUGAGACCAGAGGAUCCCUCGAGCCCAGGAGUUCAAAACCAGCCUGAGCAACAUAGAAAGACCUUGUCUCAA